rnacentral:rRNA from 1 species
UGAGUACGAGAUGCUACGGCAUUGAAGCAGUCUAUGUCAUACUUCCAAGAAAAGCUUGCACUGUCAUAAACAAAGAAUGCCUGUACCAUAACCGACACAGGUGGGUAGGUAGAGUAUACUAAGGGGCGCGAGAUAACUCUCUCUAAGGAACUCGGCAAAAUGACUCCGUAACUUCGGGAGAAGGAGUGCCUUAUUUUUAAGGUUGCAAUAACAAGAUCCAAGCAACUGUUUAUCAAAAACACAGGUCUCCGCUAAGUCGUAAGACGAUGUAUGGGGGCUGACGCCUGCCCAGUGCCAGAAGGUUAAAGAAGUUGGUUAGCAUUCGCGAAGCUGAUAACUGAAGCCCUGGUGAACGGCGGCCGUAACAAUGACGGUCCUAAGGUAGCGAAAUUCCUUGUCGGGUAAGUUCCGACCCGCACGAAAGGCGUAAUGAUUUGGAUACUGUCUCGGAGAGGGACUCGGUGAAAUAGACUUGUCUGUGAAGAUGCGGACUACCUGCACCUGGACAGAAAGACCCUAUGAAGCUUUACUGUAACUUGAAAUUGAAAUUGGACUUUAGUUGCGCAGGAUAGGUGGGAGGCGUUGAGAAUAUUCUUGCGGGAGUAUUGGAGCCAUCAGUGAGAUACCACUCUUCUAAUGUUAGAUUUCUAACUUUGUAUCAUUAUCUGGUCAAAGAACAGUUUCAGGCGGGCAGUUUGACUGGGGCGGUCGCCUCCUAAAGGGUAACGGAGGCGCACAAAGGUUUCCUCUGAACGAGUAGAAAUCGUAUCUAGAGUGUAAAGGCAUAAGGAAGCUUGACUGUGAGACCUACAAGUCGAGCAGGGACGAAAGUCGGUCUUAGUGAUCUGACGGUGCUGAGUGGAAAGGCCGUCACUCAACGGAUAAAAGUUACUCUAGGAUAACAGGCUGAUCUCCCCCAAGAGUUCACAUCGACGGGGAGGUUUGGCACCUCGAUGUCGGCUCAUCGCAUCCUGGGGCGGUAGUACGUCCCAAGGGUUGGGCUGUUCGCCCAUGAAAGCGGUACGCGAGCUGGGUUCAGAACGUCGUGAGACAGUUCGGUCCAUAUCCGGUGUAGGCGUUAGAAUAUUGAGAGGAGCCUUCUCUAGUACGAGAGGACCGAGAAGGACAUACCUCUAGUGUACCAGUUAUCGUGCCAACGGUAAACGCUGGGUAGCUAUGUAUGGAGUGGAUAAUCGCUGAAAGCAUCUAAGUGGGAAGCCCACCUCAAGAUAAG